ensembl:lncRNA
AGGCCAGCCAGCGACUCACGGUCUCGUCCGGUGCAGAUCAUUUAUUUCUAAUCUAAGGAUAUGGAGUAUAAAGUGUACUUAAAUGAAAAGGCACCUGUUCCCGCAGCUACAAAAAGGCGAUGGACACAGAAUAUAAUAGGAGCAAAAAAGAGAAGAUCAUACAAGACAUGGCUUAUUCCCGAUAUAGUUGAAGAAAACAUUUCCAAUGAUGACAGUGGUGACAAUAUCAGCAAAUCUGACAGGAACUGCCCUGAUGCUCAUGGAAACUUUUCUACUGAUGACGAGAAUGAGGUCGUCAGCGAUGCUGAUGGAAACUUUUCAGAUGCUGAUGAAGGCUUUUCUGCUGAUGACGAGGGUGAUGUUUUUAGCACAGCUGAUGAGAACUUUCCACAGACUCAUGUGAGAAUAAAGUUUAGAAUAUGUAUCUAGUCUAUAGCCUCAUGCUUUUUUUAAAGCUCACACUUCUUUAUGUGUCAGCUUGUAAUUAGUGCAAUAUUUACUUUCUAGAUUGUCAGAAACCACAG